rnacentral:rRNA from 1 species
CCUACGGGAGGCAGCAGUGGGGGAUAUUGCACAAUGGGGGAAACCCUGAUGCAGCGACGCCGCGUGAGUGAAGAAGGAUUUCGGUAUGUAAAGCUCUAUCAGCAGGGAAGAAAAUGACAGUACCUGACCAAGAAGCCCCGUCUAACUACGUGCCAGCAGCCGCAGUAAUACGUAGGGGGCAAGCGUUACCCGGAUUUACUGGGUGUAAAGGGAGCGUAGACGGUUAUGUAAGUCUGGAGGGAAAGCCCGGGGCCCCACCCCGGGACUGCUUUUGAAACUGUGUAACUGGAGUGCAGGAGGGGCAGGCGGAAUUCCUGGUGUAGCAGUGAAAUGCGUAGAUAUCAGGAGGAACACCGGCGGCGAAGGCGGCCUGCUGGACUGAAACUGACGUUGAGGCUCGAAAGCGUGGGUAGCAAACAGGAUUAGAUACCCCAGUAGUC